AGUCUUGCUCCAGGAUGGAGUACAGUGGUGUGAUCUUGGUUCACUGCAAAACCUCCGCUUCCCGGGUUCAAGCGAUUCUCCUGCCUCAGCUUCCCCAGUAGCUGGGACUACAGGCUCCAACAAAGGGCCGGUGGGGCAGGUCGACCAAGCACCCCGCGGCUCCCGCUGCGUAGCGCUGCGCCCCGGCCCCGACGCGGCCGCCCACGUCCGGACCCAUCUGGAGGCUCCGCUCGCCACUACGCGGUAGCAGCCGGGGCAGGUGGGCAGGCGCCAGGCUGAGGUGGCGCCCAAGACGCGGCUGAGCUCGCCCAGAGUGGGCAGCAGUAGCCAGAGGAAGACGCUGCCGUCGUCGGGCCCCAGCGCCAGCACCAGCGACCCGGGCGGGCGAGGGGCGGGGGCAGCCACCUAGCCCAGACCACCGCGGCCCCGAGCAUGGUCAACAAAGUGGUGCACGACCAUGACUCCGAUUAUCGGGAGGAGCUGGAAGACAACGACAAGGACGCCAGUUACUACACGGAAAGCAGCUUCAGGAGCCGUAGUACCUACAGCAGCACUCCAGGUACCCACCCAGAUGUCAGCCCUGCCCCAAGAAUCGACUGAAAAUUUGACUCCAUUCCUGGACCGGGAUUCAGCUGGGUUGCCCCUGGGGCCAGAGCAGUUCUUGGCUGCACACCAGGAUUUAAAUGACAAGCUGACUCCAGAAGAAAGGCUCCCAGAGGU
rnacentral:lncRNA from 1 species